CCUACGGGAGGCAGCAGUGGGGAAUAUUGGGCAAUGGGCGCAAGCCUGACCCAGCAACGCCGCGUGAAGGAAGAAGGCUUUCGGGUUGUAAACUUCUUUUCUCAGGGACGAAGAAAGUGACGGUACCUGAGGAAUAAGCCACGGCUAACUACGUGCCAGCAGCCGCGGUAAUCCGUAGGUGGCAAGCGUUAUCCGGAUUUAUUGGGUGUAAAGGGCGUGUAGGCGGGAGCGCAAGUCAGAUGUGAAAACGCAGGGCUCAACCCUGAGCCUGCAUUUGAAACUGUGUUUCUUGAGUGCUGGAGAGGCGAUCGGAAUUCCGGGUGUAGCGGUGAAAUGCGUAGAUAUACGGAGGAACACCAGUGGCGAAGGCGGAUUGCUGGCCAGUAACUGACGCUGAGGCGCGAAAGCGUGGGGAGCAAACAGGAUUAGAUACCCCUGUAGUC
rnacentral:rRNA from 1 species